AAUUAAUCGCAAUCUUGGUCCCCGGAGGGAGAGGAACCUCUCUGAAGGAAGGUUGUAGCGCUACCUUCAGGCUGGUUUUGUGGCGCUGGAUAAGAAAACAGAUUGGCCUGGGCUAAAGUAUCAAAAGAUCCUAGGAUUGCAGGAGGUCAACAGUCUCCACUGGAGAAAAAAAUAUUGAAUCUAGGUGGCGUACAUACAUCAGAAGCAAAACAACUGAUAAUUCAAAAAUAUCAAGAGGAGUAUGAAAUACGCUGUAGGGAGCAAGGGCUUUCCCUUGACUACUGGCUUGCCAAAGCAGAGUCUUAUUAUAAUAAAAGAAUAAUGGAAAUGGUGAAAGAACAAGAGAAAGGCAGUGAAAUCAAGAAGAGAUUGGAGGGAAAAACAACCCAAAGCAUAGAGAGACAAAAACGGUUUUAUUUGCUACCCGAGAGAGAAAUGAAACACAUAGAAAGGCACAUACAUCGAGGUGGACAGGUCAGAGAGUUUAAGAGUAAAACAUUUAAAAAAUCAACACCACACUCUAGUGAAAUAAAAUUUCCCAGAAUUGUGCCGGAAGAACAUGGCAUUCAGAACACACAGAGAAGAAAGCAGGUAAAUGAGAGAGAACAGAUACAGAUUAAAGAUCACCGGGAACGCAUGAUUCGAGGGAGAGAACUUGUAGAGCAAAAACUCAAGGAAAGAAUCUUGAGAAAAGACCAGAGUCAGCCUCCUGUUCCUGAGAAGUGUGAGAGCAUAAAGAGCAUAAAGAAAGAGAUAAAAGAGUAUGAAAGUGUUAUUGCAUACCCACUUUUCCAGCCAUGCGGUAGCAGUCGGAUUAAAGUGAAUGUUCUGAUGGAAAAGUCUCAGAAUAGAGAAGAAAACAACACAAUGAUCAAGCCACUUCAAAGAAGAUUCUUAACUAUGCCACCCUUUUUGAGAAGUCAAAUAGGAAAAAUAAAAGAUUCAGUGCUUUCAUGAU